UGCUAAUGUUGUGAGACAACGAAUCGAGGAAAGACCAAGUCGGCGACGCACACUUCGGUAAAAUGAAAGUACCACUUAAACGAAAGCAUGCCUCCGGCAAUGGAGAUGAUGAGUCGUCUCCCGCUAAGGAUAUAUGUAUUGCAUCCGCCCCGACAAAUAAAACAUUCGCUCAUCUAGAUGACGCAGUAACGACCCAUGAAGUUCGAAUACCCAAGCAUCAGGCGAAGAGACAAAAACGUAACAAAGUGGAUAGUGACAAUAAGCUGAAAUGUUCUCAUUGUAAUAAGAAAACUGGACUUGCCUCAACCUAUGACUGCAGUUACAGGUUGAGUUGCCAUUACACAUUCCAUAUGGACAAUGGUCGGCAAAUUAUUUCAGAGCGUGUUUUUUGACGUUCAUCGGUUCUUGGAUAACAUUAGUAGUUCGACCCGGGAAAAACCCAGCACAAAGCUAGUACCGUACGCGCCUAUAUGAAAUCAAGGUGCGGGAAAAAAUUUUGUUCGGAACAUCGUUACGCGGAACUGCAUAAUUGCUGUUUUGAUUAUAAAAAACAAGGACGACUAGAGCUUCUGAGAAACAACCCGAUUGUCCGGGCGGAGAAACUCGAAAAAAUAUGAAGUAUCACUAACCUAAAACAUAAUUGUCUGACAGAAUCUAGUGUUGCGGUUAUCGUUUUCAUACAAAGAACGCAUUUUGCAAGAGUUAGACUUGGGAUUAUCCUGCUGUUCAUUUCACCUCGUGCUAGUUCCGACCAGCUCAAUGAAAUAAACUCGAUGGACGGUUCGAACGUUAAUUUCUGUUACGAAAGGAACAUAAACAUUCGGGGGAGCACCGAAACGUUGUGUGAUAACGUUUGUAUAGAGGCAGACUUUUUCUCUAUUGGCAUACUAAAUCGCCCCGCAACCUGCGUAGCCAUCUUUAUUUUGAAUGAGUCGACUGCCUUCAUAUUUAUUCUAA